GACUGAUUUAAGCAGGAACAUAUCUUAUUCUGGUAUUGUAAUGCUCAUAUAUUUCUUGGAUCUAUUUGGUUCUGUACUUAUUUCACUUUUAUUUUAAUAUAGCUUCUGGCACCUCACUUCACCAAGAAUUGAUUAUAAUUACCAAAUAUAUUUCAGCAGCAAUUUCAAACCCAUUAUAAUUACCAAAUUAAUAGGUUCAGCAUAAUAUUUCAUUAAAAGUACAUUGAUUUGCUCAUGCUAACCAC
rnacentral:lncRNA from 1 species